ACAGAAUCCUCCGAGCCACUGCGAAGAAUUCGGGAUUUAAUAUCAUCAUAACCAGAACUAUGUCGUCUGUACGGAUUUUGGUUGUCCUCAUGGUUGUGUGCAUCCUCGCAGGGAGUUUAUUGCAGAAGGCACAAGCCUGUCGUUUCUCGGACACGUACUGUGGCUUCGGAGAAUGUGUUGUAGCAAGCUGUGGACCCUUUUGUUGGCUUUGCUGCCAAUUACGUCAUCCUGCGUGUGAUCUGGUCUGAAUUCGGUAAUCAAGUUUAGGAACAUGCAGUCAAAAUAAAACAGACUUGAAACUUGUAUGCGAUAAUGUGUGUAUUCAAUUUUAUUUGAAUAACAAUAUAAUUUCAAACAUUAAA